rnacentral:rRNA from 1 species
UACGUAGGGUGCGAGCGUUGCCCGGAUUCAUUGGGCGUACAGCGCGCGCAGGCGGCGCGGUGCAUCCCGCGUGAAAUCGCCCGGCUCAACCGGGCGGGGUCGCGGGAGAUGGCCGCGCUGGAGCACGGGAGGGGGCAGUGGAAUUCCCGGUGUAGUGGUGAAAUGCGCAGAUAUCGGGAAGAACACCCGGUGGCGAAGGCGG